GCCUGGAUAGCUCAGUGGUUAGAGCACCUGACUAGCAAUGCAGGGUCUCAGGUUCGAUUCCCGGUCCAGACA